GACGAACCGAGCGAACGUUAUUCGGAAUCACUGGGCUUAAAGGGCGCGUAGGCGGGCCGUCAAGUCGAGGGUGAAAUCCCCCAGCUCAACUGGGGAAGUGCCUCCGAUACUGGCGGUCUCGAGGGGGAUAGGGGCAUGCGGAACUUCCGGUGGAGCGGUGAAAUGCGUAGAUAUCGGAAGGAACACCGGUGGCGAAAGCGGCGUGCUGGAUCCCUUCUGACGCUGAGGUGCGAAAGCCAGGGGAGCGAACGGG
rnacentral:rRNA from 1 species